rnacentral:rRNA from 1 species
CCUGAUGGAGCGACGCUGCGUGUAGGAUGAAGGCCUUAGGGUUGUAAACUACUGUCACGCUAUAGGAACCCGUGUAGGUUAAUAGCCUGCGCGCUGACCAAAGCGAGAGGAAGUGCCGGCUAACUCCGUGCCAGCAGCCGCGGUAAGACGGAGGGCGCAAGCGUUGUUCGGAAUCACUGGGCAUAAAGGGCGCGUAGGCGGCCAGUUCAGUCGGAUGUGAAAUCCCCCGGCCCAACCGGGGAACUGCAUUCGAUACUGACUGGCUAGAGGAUGGUAGGAGCCAAUGGAACUCCAGGUGGAACGGUGAAAUGUGUAGAUAUCUGGAGGAACACCGGUGGCGAAAGCGAUUGGCUGGGCCAUUUCUGACGCUGAGGCGCGAAAGCUAGGGGAGCGAACGGGAUUAGAUACCCCGGUAGUCCUAGCCGUAAACGAUGGGUACUGGGCAAU